GUUGAACAGCACCUAUACUUUUUUGAAAACUGGAACAAUACAGAAAAGAGUAACAUGGCCCCCUUGCAAGAUUAAAAUGCAAAGUUAUUAAAUGUUUCAUAUUUUA